UACGUAGGGUGCAAGCGUUAAUCGGAAUUACUGGGCGUAAAGCGUGCGCAGGCGGUUGUGCAAGACAGGUGUGAAAUCCCCGGGCUUAACCUGGGAACUGCGCUUGUUACUGGCAGGCUUGAGUGUGGCAGAGGGGGGUGGAAUUCCACGUGUAGCAGUGAAAUGCGUAGAGAUGUGGAGGAACACCGAUGGCGAAGGCAGCCCCCUGGGCUAACACUGACGCUCAUGCACGAAAGCGUGGGGAGCAAACAGG
rnacentral:rRNA from 1 species